AGGAUGAACGCUGGCGGUCUGCUUAACACAUGCAAGUCGAACGGGCGUAGCAAUACGUUAGUGGCGGACGGGUGAGUAACGCGUGAGAAUCUACCUUCAGGACGGAGACAACAGUUGGAAACGACUGCUAACCCCCGAUGUACUGAAAAGGCAAAUAUUUAUAGCCUGAAGAAGAGCUCGCGUCCGAUUAGCUAGUUGGAGAGGUAAAAGCUCACCAAGGCGACGAUCGGUAGCUGGUCUGAGAGGACGAUCAGCCACACUGGGACUGAGACACGGCCCAGACUCCUACGGGAGGCAGCAGUGGGGAAUUUUCCGCAAUGGGCGAAAGCCUGACGGAGCAAGACCGCGUGGGGAAGAAGGCUCUUGGGUUGUAAACCCCUUUUCUCUGGAAGAAGUUGUGAAGCAGCCUGACGGUACCAGAGGAAUCAGCAUCGGCUAACUCCGUGCCAGCAGCCGC
rnacentral:rRNA from 1 species